UACUACUUUAUUAGGCGUUUGAAGUGUUUAAUUGGCCAAGAAUCUCUUGAAAACCCUCACCGGAAAAACUUCAAAUUCACCGUCGAACUUGAGAACUCUCAGCGGCGGAGUUAGCAUGGAUGUCAUCACCUCCACACGGUCAAAUGGAUGCAGAUAAAAGUUUAACGCCCAAACUGUGAGGAGGAAGGGUGAGAACUAAGAUGUAUCAUCUCUUUCAGCUGGGUCAGGAUAAACUUAUGAGGAGGAAGUUCCAUAUAGCCAACAGAUGCUACAUGUGCUUGUGCAACCCAGAAUCUAUCAAUCACCUGCUUCUUCAUUGCACUGUUGCCACAGACCUUCGAUACAUGUUCUUUUCUCUCUUUGGACUGACUUGGGCCUUGCCAGGCUCUUUGAGAGACGCUUUUGUGUGUUGGUGCUUCUAAAAAGUUGGGAAGUCCAUCAAAAUGAUCUGGUCUAUGGUUCCUGCUUUUGUAUUUUGUGCUGCUUAUGGAUAGAGAGGAACAAAAGGUGUUUUGAUGGCAUCUCAACUUCCAUUUCCUCUCUUAAGGCUAGAUGUGUGAUUAGUCGCUUUAGGUUUGUUUUUUUUUAGUCGUUUUAGGUUGGUCAACCACUCCUCUGUAAUUACUGUUGAAUCUUUCCUAGAAUAUAUCAGCUCAAUAGAUCUAUGUUGAUAGUUAUGAUAGUUUUUUUCACUUU